rnacentral:rRNA from 1 species
UGUGAGCUCGAUGAGUAGGGCGGGACACGUGGUAUCCUGUCUGAAUAUGGGGGGACCAUCCUCCAAGGCUAAAUACUCCUGACUGACCGAUAGUGAACCAGUACCGUGAGGGAAAGGCGAAAAGAACCCCGGCGAGGGGAGUGAAAAAGAACCUGAAACCGUGUACGUACAAGCAGUGGGAGCACGCUUAGGCGUGUGACUGCGUACCUUUUGUAUAAUGGGUCAGCGACUUAUAUUCUGUAGCAAGGUUAACCGAAUAGGGGAGCCGAAGGGAAACCGAGUCUUAACUGGGCGUUAAGUUGCAGGGUAUAGACCCGAAACCCGGUGAUCUAGCCAUGGGCAGGUUGAAGGUUGGGUAACACUAACUGGAGGACCGAACCGACUAAUGUUGAAAAAUUAGCGGAUGACUUGUGGCUGGGGGUGAAAGGCCAAUCAAACCGGGAGAUAGCUGGUUCUCCCCGAAAGCUAUUUAGGUAGCGCCUCGUGAAUUCAUCUCCGGGGGUAGAGCACUGUUUCGGCAAGGGGGUCAUCCCGACUUACCAACCCGAUGCAAACUGCGAAUACCGGAGAAUGUUAUCACGGGAGACACACGGCGGGUGCUAACGUCCGUCGUGAAGAGGGAAACAACCCAGACCGCCAGCUAAGGUCCCAAAGUCAUGGUUAAGUGGGAAACGAUGUGGGAAGGCCCAGACAGCCAGGAUGUUGGCUUAGAAGCAGCCAUCAUUUAAAGAAAGCGUAAUAGCUCACUGGUCGAGUCGGCCUGCGCGGAAGAUGUAACGGGGCUAAACCAUGCACCGAAGCUGCGGCAGCGACGCUUAUGCGUUGUUGGGUAGGGGAGCGUUCUGUAAGCCUGUGAAGGUGUGCUGUGAGGCAUGCUGGAGGUAUCAGAAGUGCGAAUGCUGACAUAAGUAACGAUAAAGCGGGUGAAAAGCCCGCUCGCCGGAAGACCAAGGGUUCCUGUCCAACGUUAAUCGGGGCAGGGUGAGUCGACCCCUAAGGCGAGGCCGAAAGGCGUAGUCGAUGGGAAACAGGUUAAUAUUCCUGUACUUGGUGUUACUGCGAAGGGGGGACGGAGAAGGCUAUGUUGGCCGGGCGACGGUUGUCCCGGUUUAAGCGUGUAGGCUGGUUUUCCAGGCAAAUCCGGAAAAUCAAGGCUGAGGCGUGAUGACGAGGCACUACGGUGCUGAAGCAACAAAUGCCCUGCUUCCAGGAAAAGCCUCUAAGCAUCAGGUAACAUCAAAUCGUACCCCAAACCGACACAGGUGGUCAGGUAGAGAAUACCAAGGCGCUUGAGAGAACUCGGGUGAAGGAACUAGGCAAAAUGGUGCCGUAACUUCGGGAGAAGGCACGCUGAUAUGUAGGUGAAGCGACUUGCUCGUGGAGCUGAAAUCAGUCGAAGAUACCAGCUGGCUGCAACUGUUUAUUAAAAACACAGCACUGUGCAAACACGAAAGUGGACGUAUACGGUGUGACGCCUGCCCGGUGCCGGAAGGUUAAUUGAUGGGGUCAGCGCAAGCGAAGCUCUUGAUCGAAGCCCCGGUAAACGGCGGCCGUAACUAUAACGGUCCUAAGGUAGCGAAAUUCCUUGUCGGGUAAGUUCCGACCUGCACGAAUGGCGUAAUGAUGGCCAGGCUGUCUCCACCCGAGACUCAGUGAAAUUGAACUCGCUGUGAAGAUGCAGUGUACCCGCGGCAAGACGGAAAGACCCCGUGAACCUUUACUAUAGCUUGACACUGAACAUUGAGCCUUGAUGUGUAGGAUAGGUGGGAGGCUUUGAAGUGUGGACGCCAGUCUGCAUGGAGCCGACCUUGAAAUACCACCCUUUAAUGUUUGAUGUUCUAACGUUGACCCGUGAUCCGGGUUGCGGACAGUGUCUGGUGGGUAGUUUGACUGGGGCGGUCUCCUCCUAAAGAGUAACGGAGGAGCACGAAGGUUGGCUAAUCCUGGUCGGACAUCAGGAGGUUAGUGCAAUGGCAUAAGCCAGCUUGACUGCGAGCGUGACGGCGCGAGCAGGUGCGAAAGCAGGUCAUAGUGAUCCGGUGGUUCUGAAUGGAAGGGCCAUCGCUCAACGGAUAAAAGGUACUCCGGGGAUAACAGGCUGAUACCGCCCAAGAGUUCAUAUCGACGGCGGUGUUUGGCACCUCGAUGUCGGCUCAUCACAUCCUGGGGCUGAAGUAGGUCCCAAGGGUAUGGCUGUUCGCCAUUUAAAGUGGUACGCGAGCUGGGUUUAGAACGUCGUGAGACAGUUCGGUCCCUAUCUGCCGUGGGCGCUGGAGAACUGAGGGGGGCUGCUCCUAGUACGAGAGGACCGGAGUGGACGCAUCACUGGUGUUCGGGUUGUCAUGCCAAUGGCACUGCCCGGUAGCUAAAUGCGGAAGAGAUAAGUGCUGAAAGCAUCUAAGCACGAAACUUGCCCCGAGAUGAGUUCUCCCUGACCCUUUAAGGGUCCUGAAGGAACGUUGAAGACGACGACGUUGAUAGGCCGGGUGUGUAAGCGCAGCGAUGCGUUGAGCUAACCGGUACUAAUGAACCGUGAGGCUUAACCUU